ensembl:miRNA
UGAGCCGAGCUGAGCUUAGCUCAGCCGAGCUGAACCGAGCUCCGAUGAGCCGGCCGAACUGUUGAGCUG